GGCACACACACGCGGCCCCUGUUUAAGCGCUCGCUAAAGCUCUCCCGCACGCCGAUGCAGAUGACAAGGCCGAGCUGUCAUGGUAAACAAUUCAAGCCUUCGUGUCGACACUGUCACUGUCCUGACAAAAGCACCCAGAGUCGACGCCAUGUAUCAUUAAGAAACCAUCUCGACAUCGCGCUCAAUUACUUCAUUUGAAUCGGCGGGACGUGAAUUAGGAGAAAGACCAAUCUGCUGCUGCUGCUGCUUCGGCUGAAGAGCAGGAUGGCAAACGCCGGUUCGUGCUUGUGGUGCCUGGUGUGGCUGCUGCUGCUGCUUUUCUUCGGCUGGCCCAUCGGCAUCACCCUCGGGGGUCUCUACGGCCUCAUCAGCCCCCUCACCACCUGCCUGGGCCUGGAUCGACUGUCGGACUUGCUGCUGGAAGGCGCCAACCUGGGCCGUACUUGCGCACAAAACAUGAAGCACUGUAAGCCGCUGUGUUGAUUGUUUUUUGACAGCAACGUGACGGCCCUGUCGAAAGAAGGUCAACACGACGGUGGGCGUUAACACGAAAAGUGAGCAUGAGUUUGUUAUUGGCCAGGCUGAAGGGGGGCUUCACAUUACUGAAUUGACGAUGACGCUGCACAGAGGAGAUAAGAAUUGAACAAUGGCCACACUCUGACUUGCGAAUGCAAACUUCUAAUGCGAUUAAAACUGCUUUGAACUCCU